rfam:Homo sapiens chromosome 12, GRCh38 reference primary assembly.
GCCAGGCAUGGUGGUGCGUGCCUGUAAUCCCAACUACUAGGGAGACUGAGACACAAGAAUCGCUUGAACCCGGGAUGUGGAGGUUGCAGUGAGCUGUGAUCGUGCCACUGCACUCUACCCUGGGCAACAGAGUGAGACUGUGUCUCCA